rnacentral:rRNA from 1 species
GAAGUGAGUGGCGAACGGGUGAGUAACACGUGGGUAACCUGCCCAGAAGUAGGGGAUAACACCUGGAAACAGAUGCUAAUACCGUAUAACAGAGAAAACCGCAUGGUUUUCUUUUAAAAGAUGGCUCUGCUAUCACUUCUGGAUGGACCCGCGGCGUAUUAGCUAGUUGGUGAGGUAAAGGCUCACCAAGGCAGUGAUACGUAGCCGACCUGAGAGGGUAAUCGGCCACAUUGGGACUGAGACACGGCCCAGACUCCUACGGGAGGCAGCAGUAGGGAAUCUUCCACAAUGGACGCAAGUCUGAUGGAGCAACGCCGCGUGAGUGAAGAAGGGUUUCGGCUCGUAAAGCUCUGUUGUUAAAGAAGAACGUGGGUAAGAGUAACUGUUUACCCAGUGACGGUAUUUAACCAGAAAGCCACGGCUAACUACGUGCCAGCAGCCGCGGUAAUACGUAGGUGGCAAGCGUUAUCCGGAUUUAUUGGGCGUAAAGCGAGCGCAGGCGGUCUUUUAAGUCUAAUGUGAAAGCCUUCGGCUCAACCGAAGAAGUGCAUUGGAAACUGGGAGACUUGAGUGCAGAAGAGGACAGUGGAACUCCAUGUGUAGCGGUGAAAUGCGUAGAUAUAUGGAAGAACACCAGUGGCGAAGGCGGCUGUCUGGUCUGCAACUGACGCUGAGGCUCGAAAGCAUGGGUAGCGAACAGGAUUAGAUACCCUGGUAGUCCAUGCCGUAAACGAUGAUUACUAAGUGUUGGAGGGUUUCCGCCCUUCAGUGCUGCAGCUAACGCAUUAAGUAAUCCGCCUGGGGAGUACGACCGCAAGGUUGAAACUCAAAAGAAUUGACGGGGGCCCGCACAAGCGGUGGAGCAUGUGGUUUAAUUCGAAGCUACGCGAAGAACCUUACCAGGUCUUGACAUCUUCUGACAGUCUAAGAGAUUAGAGGUUCCCUUCGGGGACAGAAUGACAGGUGGUGCAUGGUUGUCGUCAGCUCGUGUCGUGAGAUGUUGGGUUAAGUCCCGCAACGAGCGCAACCCUUAUUACUAGUUGCCAGCAUUAAGUUGGGCACUCUAGUGAGACUGCCGGUGACAAACCGGAGGAAGGUGGGGACGACGUCAAAUCAUCAUGCCCCUUAUGACCUGGGCUACACACGUGCUACAAUGGAUGGUACAACGAGUCGCGAGACCGCGAGGUUAAGCUAAUCUCUUAAAACCAUUCUCAGUUCGGACUGUAGGCUGCAACUCGCCUACACGAAGUCGGAAUCGCUAGUAAUCGCGGAUCAGCAUGCCGCGGUGAAUACGUUCCCGGGCCUUGUACACA